UACGGAGGGGGCAAGCGUUGUUCGGAAUUACUGGGCGUAAAGGGCGCGCAGGCGGCUGCUCAAGUCAGGCGUGAAAGGCCUGGGCUCAACCCGGGAAUUGCGCUUGAGACUGGGCUGGCUUGAGUGCGGGAGAGGAUGGUGGAAUUCCUAGUGUAGAGGUGAAAUUCGUAGAUAUUAGGAAGAACACCGGUGGCGAAGGCGGCCCACUGGAUCGGUACUGACGCUGAGGUGCGAAAGCGUGGGGAGCAAACAGG
rnacentral:rRNA from 1 species